GGGGAUGGAUCCAGAGCCCAUACAGAGGAGUUGGCAGCAUUGAAAUGCCCAUGAGGACAGAAUUUCAGUGGACAUGUGAUGGAGAGGAAUUCAGUGAGACUCAAAGCAAGUACAAGGUGUUGAGUCCUCAUGGCACUCAUCAGAAAUUAACACACGUGUUUCUGUCAGAGUUCUUUCCCAGGGAAACUGAC